CGGGGACGGGGUGAGUAAUGUCGUGGGAAACUGCCUGAUGGAGGGGGAUAACUACUGGAAACGGUAGCUAAUACCGCAUAACGUCGCAAGACCAAAGAGGGGGACCUUCGGGCCUCUUGCCAUCGGAUGUGCCCAGAUGGGAUUAGCUAGUAGGUGGGGUAACGGCUCACCUAGGCGACGAUCCCUAGCUGGUCUGAGAGGAUGACCAGCCACACUGGAACUGAGACACGGUCCAG
rnacentral:rRNA from 1 species